rnacentral:SRP_RNA from 1 species
UACAAGGGCUAGGCGGGUGGUUAGGCCUCACCUGUAUCGGAGAGCGGUCUUUAUCCGAGCUGAAUGUCCUUGGACGGCAAGUCAGCUAUAUGUUGUCUUGUUUGUCGGCGUAGAAGUACAGCCUCGCUUGGUGCUGUGCUUUGGAAAUCCGCCAGGCCGGGAACGGAGCAACGGUAACCUUAGUAUGGUAUGCUUGUGAGAUACUGUAUGGAGCUGGCGGCAAGGUUAGCAGCAUAUGGUUUGUUUUGUCAACCUAGGAUGCCCGUUUA